rnacentral:lncRNA from 1 species
CCAAAUUUCUCCCAGUUUUCAUCAAUUUUCGCCCUUUUCCCCCCAGGUGUCCCUAAACCCUAAAAUUUCCCCAAUUUUCUCUCAAUUUUCACAAAUUUUCCACCAAAUUUUCUCCAAAAUUUCUCCAGUUUUCUCUCAAUUUUCCCCCAAUUUUCUCCAAUUUUCUCCCAAUUUGCACCAAUUUCCUCCCAAUUUUCCCCCAUUUUUUUUCCAAUUUUCUCCCUAUUUCCACCAAAUUAAUUUCCACCAAUUUCCCCCCAAUUUCCUCCCCAAUUUUUCCCAAAUUUCUCCCUAUUUUCAUCAAAUUUCUCCCAUUUUUUUCCAAUUUUCCCCCAAUUUUCCCAAAUUUCUCUCAAUUUUCCCCAAUUUCCCUCCAAUUUUCACCAAUUUUCCCCAAUUUCUCCCAAUUUUCUCCCUUUUUGCCCCAUUUCUACCCAGGUUUCCCUAAACCCCCAAUUUUCACCAAUUUUCUCCAAAUUUCUCCCAAUUUUCACAAUUUUUUUCCCAAUUUUAUCCCAAUUUUCAGCAAUUUCCAUCAAUUUUCCACCCAAUUUUCACAAAUUUUCACCAAUUUUCUCCCAAUUUUAACCCAUUUUUGCCCCAUCAUCAAUUUUCUCCCAAAUUCCUCCCAACUUUCACCAAUUUUCCCCAAUUUCCUCCAAAUUUCCACCAAUUUUUACAAAUUUUCUCCCAAUUUUGGUCCCAAUUUUCUCCCAAUUUUUCCCAAUUUUCCCCAAAUUCUCCCCAAUUUUCUCCAAAUUUUCACCAAAUUUCCAUCAAUUUUCCCCAAUUUUUCCCAAAUCUCUCCCAAUUUUCACUCAAUUUCCACCAAUUUUCUCGAAUUUUCUCCAAAUUUCCACCAAUUUUCAUCAAUUUUCUCCCAAUUUUCUUUCAUUUUCCACCAAUUCCCUUCCAAUUUUCCCCCAAUUUUGGCCCCAAUUUCCAUCAAAUUUCGCCCAUUUUUUUUUCCAAAUUUCCCCCAAUUUCCACCAAUUU